UACAGAGGGUGCGAGCGUUGUCCGGAAUCACUGGGCGUAAAGGGUGCGUAGGCGGUCUGCUAAGCGUGUGGUGAAAGCUCGGGGCUCAACCCCGAGUCGGCCGUGCGAACUGGUGGACUCGAGCACGUCAGAGGCAGGCGGAAUUCCGGGUGUAGCGGUGGAAUGCGUAGAGAUCCGGAAGAACACCGGUGGCGAAGGCGGCCUGCUGGGACGUGGCUGACGCUGAGGCGCGACAGCGUGGGGAGCAAACAGG
rnacentral:rRNA from 1 species